AUAAGUCUGCAACCGGGUAGAAUAAAUCAAAGCACUCGUUACACAUCGUCAGGUCUUAGAAGAUGUAUAACGAGUGUACUUAUUUUU
rnacentral:ncRNA from 1 species